AUGGUGGCCAUCCUUUCACAUUAUUUCAUGCUAUUGUGGCAAAUAACUUGUGUUACCCUUGCAUAUGCUAAUUUAUUUCUGUCACUCAGCCUGCAGCACUGCCAUUAUGUUAUUUGUUCCAAAGUGACUUUUGAACUCAGCUCGUAUGCAGGUGAUGGAUGCUGUGCACAAACAAAGCUGUACACAGCUCUCCUGAGGAAGAAGCUGCCUAGCAGUUUCAUAGCAGAAACUUAUAUUUGGUGGCCAGGGGCAGGAGUGAGAGAUGGACGGAUAGCCUCUGUGGCUUUUGUGAAGAUUCACACCUAAUAAGCAUGGUCAAACUGAUGCCAGGAGAUCUGAUAAAAAUUGCACCACUUUUUAAAUCCCUGAUUUGAAAAAAUGACUUUUCAUAAUCAUUCUGCUUUAACAUUCUUGUGGAAGAAGACAGAAGAUGUAAAUUUCUGGAGAAGGGAGAAAUCCUAAUGCCAUACUUGGCCAGAACCCUAAUAAAGAAAUCAAACUGGUUGAAGAAUAGGCA
rnacentral:lncRNA from 1 species